CUCAAGGUGUUGAGGGAGGAGAAGGCUGGCUGAACUUUCAUUUCCUGCAAGGGCUUCCUGUAUGAUGUAACAAUGAGAGAGGGAGCAGCAAACAGCUCCUCAAGCAUUAACUGUGUCAGGAUGUUUGAGAUUGUGUGAACCCAACAGUACUCAGAGGCUCGGAGCAAAGUUUUUCUCCAUUGAUUUUGACUCUUGGAGCUGUCAGAAGAGCCAACCUGCAGUGAAUUUAUGGGUUCCUACACUACCCCUCAGAAAUGCAGUGGGUUUUUCCCCAGCCACUUGGCCUGUCCCUAAAACUCUUGGUGGCAUGGAGGUGCUGAUGUUCAGCCUGUUUCUGCUGCAGGCUUGUGCCUGAAGAGCAACAGUCUCAUACCUCUGUGCAAAAGCCUUCACCUGAAAAAGCCUUCCAGGAAAGAUUUCCACUGAGACCAGCCCAGCAACUCAGCCUUCUCUGCUACUGCUGGCUUCCUCUGGAGCCACAUCUCGACCUGUGCUUUCACUGGGAAGGCGGCAUCCCUUCAAUAUUUAUCCAAAAUGCCUUGAAAUCCUAGAACAACCCCUCCCCUGACCCCCAUAUCCCAUGCCCUUCCCAAAGUCUGCAGGUUCCUUUUAAAAACAGAGCAUGCCCUGCCUGCCUGUCUCACUGGGCAGAGAGCCUAGUGCCUGUCGUCCUUGAUGUCUUUCUUACUACUUGCUUCAGCUGGUUGUUUUCUCAGUAUUUAAAGGCUUUGUUGUGUUCCACACUUUCAAUUAAGGAGGAAAAAUGCUCUCUGUGUUGUAAGAGUGAAACUGGCGGUUGUAUACUUUGGUUUGUAGCAUAAACAGUUGCACAAGGA